rnacentral:tRNA from 2 species
GGGUGCAUAGCUCAGUUGGUUAGAGCGCAGCCCUGAUAAGGCUGAGGUCGGAGAUUCGAGUUCUCCUGCACCCAC